rnacentral:rRNA from 1 species
CGAAAGGCGUAGGCGAUGGACAACAGGUUGAUAUUCCUGUACCACCUCCUCACCAUUUGAGCAAUGGGGGGACGCAGGAGGAUAGGGUAAGCGCGGUAUUGGAUAUCCGCGUCCAAGCAGUUAGGCUGGGAAAUAGGCAAAUCCGUUUCCCAUAAGGCUGAGCUGUGAUGGCGAGCGAAAUAUAGUAGCGAAGUUCCUGAUUCCACACUGCCAAGAAAAGCCUCUAGCGAGGUGAGAGGUGCCCGUACCGCAAACCGACACAGGUAGGCGAGGAGAGAAUCCUAAGGUGAUCGAGAGAACUCUCGCUAAGGAACUCGGCAAAAUGACCCCGUAACUUCGGGAGAAGGGGUGCUCUGUAGGGUGCAAGCCCGAGAGAGCCGCAGUGAAUAGGCCCAGGCGACUGUUUAGCAAAAACACAGGUCUCUGCGAAGCCGUAAGGCGAAGUAUAGGGGCUGACGCCUGCCCGGUGCUGGAAGGUUAAGAGGAGCGCUUAGCGUAAGCGAAGGUGCGAAUUGAAGCCCCAGUAAACGGCGGCCGUAACGAUAACGGUCCUAAGGUAGCGAAAUUCCUUGUCGGGUAAGUUCCGACCCGCACGAAAGGCGCAACGAUCUGGGCACUGUCUCAACGAGAGACUCGGUGAAAUUAUAGUACCUGUGAAGAUGCAGGUUACCCGCGACAGGACGGAAAGACCCCGUGGAGCUUUACUGCAGCCUGAUAUUGAAUGUUGGUACAGCUUGUACAGGAUAGGUAGGAGCCUUGGAAACCGGAGCGCCAGCUUCGGUGGAGGCAUCGGUGGGAUACUACCCUGGCUGUAUUGACCUUCUAACCCGCCGCCCUUAUCGGGCGGGGAGACAGUGUCAGGUGGGCAGUUUGACUGGGGCGGUCGCCUCCUAAAAGGUAACGGAGGCGCCCAAAGGUUCCCUCAGAAUGGUUGGAAAUCAUUCGCAGAGUGUAAAGGCACAAGGGAGCUUGACUGCGAGACCCACAAGUCGAGCAGGGACGAAAGUCGGGCUUAGUGAUCCGGUGGUUCCGCAUGGAAGGGCCAUCGCUCAACGGAUAAAAGCUACCCCGGGGAUAACAGGCUUAUCUCCCCCAAGAGUCCACAUCGACGGGGAGGUUUGGCACCUCGAUGUCGGCUCAUCGCAUCCUGGGGCUGUAGUCGGUCCCAAGGGUUGGGCUGUUCGCCCAUUAAAGCGGUACGCGAGCUGGGUUCAGAACGUCGUGAGACAGUUCGGUCCCUAUCCGUCGCGGGCGCAGGAAAUUUGAGAGGAGCUGUCCUUAGUACGAGAGGACCGGGAUGGACGCACCGCUGGUGUACCAGUUGUUCUGCCAAGGGCAUCGCUGGGUAGCUAUGUGCGGACGGGAUAAGUGCUGAAAGCAUCUAAGCAUGAAGCCCCCCUCAAGAUGAGAUUUCCCAUUCCGCAAGGAAGUAAGAUCCCUGAAAGAUGAUCAGGUUGAUAGGUCUGAGGUGGAAGUGUGGCGACACAUGGAGCUGACAGAUACUAAUCGAUCGAGGACUUAACC